rnacentral:lncRNA from 1 species
AAAACUUGGACUUGGACCUCUCUCAUUUGAGCCCACAAAGCCAUGAAAAUCAGGUUAUAAAAGAGGGAGAUCAGACAGAAAAAGGAAGAGAAGCAAAAUACUCUGAGGUUUCCUUGAAACAAAACCCUUGACAAAACCUGGAGAGAAACCUGACAGAGAACUCAAAGCAACCCCCAGGCAGCUCUGAAAAAUUCAAUCUGACUCAC